AACUCUAUCCAGUGAAUCAGUUUGAAUCAUAAUAUAAAUAAUAGACAAUGUCGUCACAAUCGAUUGAAUCAUCAAAGCCAAUUUUAAGUAAACAACGGACGCAGUCGCUUGGUCGCCGUUCAAAAUCCUCUAACCAGCCGAAUAUGGAUGGCGUUUAAAGAAGAAUGGACUGUGAAUCUUAUGUUUUCAACGUAAGUAAGUCGAUUCCAAACUAACUUAAAAUAAAAAAAAUUUAAAUUGCUCACAAAAAAACGUUCAGAAAAGAGAUUCAAGAGCCUAGAAAUUCUGUUGUGCUAAAUGAAUUGUUGAUUUUGAGCAUUUUAAUGUAUGUAAAGUUUAUAAAUGAAUUCAUCCUCAAUUCUUCGGCAGUCAGAAUGAUCACUACAAUUUAUUGCGGAUGUUGUAACAGUUACCACUAAAUGUAAUGUUUAAAAGUCCGAAACGAGCUUAAUUUACUCAAAUACAAUCUUUUUUUACUUG